rnacentral:rRNA from 1 species
UGGGGAAUAUUGCACAAUGGGCGCAAGCCUGAUGCAGCCAUGCCGCGUGUAUGAAGAAGGCCUUCGGGUUGUAAAGUACUUUCAGCGGGGAGGAAGGGAGUAAAGUUAAUACCUUUGCCCAUUGACGUUACCCGCAGAAGAAGCACCGGCUAACUCCGUGCCAGCAGCCGCGGUAAUACGGAGGGUGCAAGCGUUAAUCGGAAUUACUGGGCGUAAAGCGCACGCAGGCGGUUUGUUAAGUCAGAUGUGAAAUCCUCGGGCUCAACCUGGGAACUGCAUCUGAUACUGGCAAGCUUGAGUCUCGUAGAGGGGGGUAGAAUUCCAGGUGUAGCGGUGAAAUGCGUAGAGAUCUGGAGGAAUACCGGUGGCGAAGGCGGCCCCCUGGACGAAGACUGACGCUCAGGUGCGAAAGCGUGGGGAGCAAACAGG